UAGACACGGAGUGCUGUCUUCGUUAACUACAGCGAAGUUCACUCAAUUCAUAGUCAUUCAGAAAUGAACAUUAACUUUGACCCAGAAACCCAAUAAAUCGUAAACAAAACUCCCCCACGCACGCACUACGGAGUUGGAGCAGAAGUUGGCGGUGUGUUUGAAGGAGAGAGUCAAAGAGCCGCUUAACAAUGUAUGUACAAAAGAGAGCAAAACUGCACCGAAAGCUUAUCAACUGCUCUCAGAUAAACAGCAAAGAAUAUACAUAUAUUUAACAGGAAAUGGAAAUUGCACGCCUUGUAAAUCCACAAGAGAGCCACUAGCCAUUCGGCUGCGCUAAGCUAAAUCUAAAAUUUAUUUUACUUCAUUUCGCACCAGCUAUGUAUGUACGUACACAAAUCGUCAAGCAAAUCGCUCUUUUGAUAACGCAACGCUUAAGUUUAACUCAUUGAUAAGAUUUAGCUUGUUCUCUCUCUCGAGCUAGUUCUCGCUCACUCUCCUUUCUGAUUUUGGCGAAUGAAUAAGCUUUUUGCGACCGUCUGUUUAUUUUAUAUAUUUCAUAACUCAAACAAAACUGUGUGCAAAUUAAAUAACUGCGGUAGCGGAUUGUGUUUUUAAAAA